rnacentral:rRNA from 1 species
CCAGACUCCUACGGGAGGCAGCAGUGGGGAAUAUUGCACAAUGGGGGGAACCCUGAUGCAGCGACGCCGCGUGAGUGAAGAAGUAUUUCGGUAUGUAAAGCUCUAUCAGCAGGGAAGAAAAUGACGGUACCUGACUAAGAAGCCCCGGCUAACUACGUGCCAGCAGCCGCGGUAAUACGUAGGGGGCAAGCGUUAUCCGGAUUUACUGGGUGUAAAGGGAGCGUAGACGGCAGAGCAAGUCUGAAGUGAAAGCCCGCGGCCCAACUGCGGGACUGCUUUGGAAACUGCCCGGCUAGAGUGCUGGAGAGGUAAGCGGAAUUCCUAGUGUAGCGGUGAAAUGCGUAGAUAUUAGGAGGAACACCAGUGGCGAAGGCGGCUUACUGGACAGUAACUGACGUUGAGGCUCGAAAGCGUGGGGAGCAAACAGGAUUAGAUACCCCAGUA